GUGAGUCAUCGAAUCUUUGAACGCAUAUUGCGCUCGAGGCCUCGGCUAAGAGCAUGUCUGCCUCAGCGUCGGGUUAUAUCUCAUCUCAAUCUUAACCGGUUGAUAUGGAUCUGGCCGUUCCAGUUCAGUGGGGGUACAGAGUGUGCUUGUUCGCUCAAGGGCUCUCUUAUCUAUUGACACCCUGGAUCGGCUGAAGCAUAGAAGCUAUAAUCAGGACCCGCUUGCGGGCCACAAUUGGGUAGUGGGCUUGGUCAAUGGCUUGCCGUUGGCUGUGUCGACAAUGCACAAUUGUUGGCCUGG
rnacentral:misc_RNA from 1 species